UUUUUCCUCUUAACGCGAUUUACAACACAACUGUCUCGUCUCGUGUUCCCACCACCCCAUAUAUAACCCUUUCUUUUCUCUUCUUUUCUCUCUCUAUCUCUCUCUCUCUUCCCGAAGAAAAAUCCAUCUUUUUUCUGUGUGAUCAGAGGGGUAACAACGAUUGCUUCUUCAAUUCUUUCUAGUAUAUAACUGGGAUUCGAUCAAGUCACGAACUUUUCUUCGAUUUGAAUGGAGGGUCAUCAUCUCCAUCGCCACCAUGGGCAACAACAACAGCAACAAAGGCUUCAGCCUCAGAAUACGAGUGCCAACGUUGAUGCGACUGAUAGGUUUCCCCAAUGGAGUAUCCAAGAGACUAAGGAGUUUCUCGUGAUUCGUGCAGAGCUGGAUCAGACUUUCAUGGAGACUAAGAGGAACAAGCAGUUGUGGGAAGUGAUCUCAACGAGAAUGAAGGAAAAGGGUUACCAUAGAAGUGCAGAGCAGUGCAAGUGCAAGUGGAAAAACCUCGUUACUCGCUACAAGGGGUUUGAAACAAUGGAGCAAGAAGCGACGAAGCAGCAAUUCCCAUUUUACAAUGAAUUCAGUGCGAUUUUCACGGCAAGGAUGCAGAGAAUGCUGUGGGCUGAAGCUGAGGGUGGGUCGAAGAAGAACAAGGGGACGCAGCUCUCAUCGGACGAGGAAGAAGAUGGCAAUGAAGAGAGUGCAGAAGCUGGUGGGGGAAGAAAGAAGAAAAAAGCAAAGAUAGCUAGUGGGGGUGGUGGUGGUAGCAGUUUGAAGGAGAUUUUGGAGGAGUUCAUGAGGCAGCAGAUGCAGAUAGAAGCACAAUGGAUGGAAGCAUUUGAAGCAAGGGAAAAUGAGAGGAGGUUGAAGGAGAUGGAGUGGAGGCAAGCCAUGGAAGUGUUGGAGAAUGAGAGGAUAAUGAUGGAAGAAAGAUGGAGAGAAAGAGAGGAACAAAGGAGGAUCAGAGAAGAAGCUAGGGCUGAGAAAAGGGAUGCUCUAAUCACAGCUUUGCUAAACAAACUAGAGAGGCAAGAAAUGUGAUGAAGAUGAAGAUUUCAAGACUUUAUUCAGUUCCAUGAUCUCCACACAUUUGAAGAGGAUAUUUUGACAGCUAGCUGAUAUGGUUUUGCAUGCACACGAGAGUUCUUCAAGGGUUAGUGACUAUGACAUGUGUACGUGAGAAAGCUAGCUAGGUGUAAUUGAAGCUGGAGAAAAGUUAUAUCAACCUUAGGUAUGAACUCAUGACUUUUCUUAGAUAAAUUUGUGCUGCAUAUGUUACCAUGUUUACUAAUAAUCAAUGUUAUGAACACGCA